rnacentral:lncRNA from 1 species
CUGCUUAAGUCCACACUAGGGACCAUCUUCACCUUGUUUUACGAUCUUUUACGGUAUUAAUGAUUCUUUAAAAGUAUUGUUGAAGACCAUCCGGCAACUAUCAAGAUGAAGAGCAGGAACACAAACUUUGACCAUUGAUCAUUUGUACUUUUUCUAUGCAUUGACUUUGUGUGCGAUUAUGUCCCCAUACUCCUUUAUUAUCUGUUAAAGGGUGUCAACACGACUUAAUGCAAGUUAAAUUUAACCUUUCGAUGUAAAAGGUCAUAUAUGGCAAUACCUUGUUUUUUUUUCUUCAAAUUAUUUGAUACCGGGAAAUAUGUGACCUUACUUUAAUUCAAACCAUGUCAG